CCUACGGGAGGCUGCAGUGAGGAAUAUUGGUCAAUGGACGAGAGUCUGAACCAGCCAAGUAGCGUGAAGGAUGACUGCCCUAUGGGUUGUAAACUUCUUUUAUAUGGGAAUAAAACGUUCCACGUGUGGGAUUUUGUAUGUACCAUAUGAAUAAGGAUCGGCUAACUCCGUGCCAGCAGCCGCGGUAAUACGGAGGAUCCGAGCGUUAUCCGGAUUUAUUGGGUUUAAAGGGAGCGUAGGUGGAUUGUUAAGUCAGUUGUGAAAGUUUGCGGCUCAACCGUAAAAUUGCAGUUGAAACUGGCAGUCUUGAGUACAGUAGAGGUGGGCGGAAUUCGUGGUGUAGCGGUGAAAUGCUUAGAUAGCACGAAGAACUCCGAUUGCGAAGGCAGUUCACUGGACUGCAACUGACACUGAGGCUCGAAAGUGUGGGUAUCAAACAGGAUUAGAUACCCCAGUAGUC
rnacentral:rRNA from 1 species